CUUCCUUCUCCACAUAGGGGUCCUCCGAAUCCCUGCAGUCUCCGCUGACAAGCCUCCCUCCACGAUGCUCCCAGUCUCCCAGGGAGAUGCUCCCAAGCACCAUCCAUAAAUCACACCCAACGCCGUCUCCAUCUGCUACUGGGCUAUCAAAGGUUGUAGUUCUUUAAAUGACUAAAUAUUUUCAUUAAUUAUUAAUAAUGGUAUUAUGGCAAUAAUUCUAUUGCUUACACUCUGAAGAUGAUGUAUCAACCCAAGUAAGAAAACUUCUUUCCCCAGCUUCAUUAAGGUAAAAUUGACAAAUAAAAAUUGUAUGUAUUCAAGGUAUACAAUGUGAUUUGCUGUAUGUAUAUACUGUGUAAUAAUUUCCACAAUCAAAAUUAUAAACACAUCCAUCAUCACACACAGUUACCCUGAAAGGUUGAAAUUCUUUAUCGAUGUCAGUGCUUGUUUAUUUAUAUCUCUUGCCCCCAUAGGACUUGGGGUUUCCAAGGUCAUCUGGCCUUGUCUGCCGUCUCACACCUGCCUUCAAUGCAGGGCUUGGCACAGAGUAGGUGCUUGGUGUAGCAUGGGUCAUAUCAGAGAAUGAAUUUGAGGUGUGUCCAUCUGUUCUACCUCCUGAGCUCCUCUUAGCAAAGAUAAUUCUGCAAGAUACAAGGAUCCUGCUUGCCCUUUGGUAGGUCUUGCCAGGCUCAGCUGCUCAGAGAUGUAAAUGUCAAUCAUUCCACAGAGCUGUUUUUUUUUUUUUUUAAAGCACCUAUUAAGAGCAUAGCACUGUGACUAUAAGGAUUUAUGCUGUUGCAGGUCACAGAGGACUAGAGAGACCAGUAUGGGUGAAUACAGGAGAGUAUUUAUUUUAAGGUGCACACCAGCUCAGUGGAUUCACAUCCAAAAAGCUGAGCCUUGAACAAAGACUGAGCAGGGUUUUUAUAAGCAAACUUACAGAAGCAAAACAAAGGCAGUUAAUCAUAUACUGACAGGUCGUGUAAUCUAUAGCGUAACUGAUGACUUGGCAUAACUUGUGGCCUUGCAUAGCUGGUGGCCUUCUAGCUACAUUGAAAGAAAAAACAAGAACUGGCUAAAUAUUUGUCCUUUUUUUUUUUUUUUUCUUUUCCUUCAUCCUUGCUCCUGAGGUGGGGUGUCUGGAGCCUGUUCCAUUGGUUUCAACUUCUCGAACAGCGUUAUCUUAUAACUGUCCUUGAAGUGAGCUUGCUAGGCAGAGGAAAACUUGUCUUUUCAUUUUAACCCUUGCCUUGCCACACUCUGGGCCUUGGCUUUUACUUUUCUUGGAGUGAAUGAAUGCAGUACUUAUUAUUAUUUUUAAAUGUCUGCCUCCGUACAAUUGAUCACUCUCCAUUUUAGUUGCUUCAGCCCUAGAAGUAACCAUGGCAUGCCAAUGAGGGAGACACCUCGUGUCAGAGGUCCCAGAGAAAGGCAACAUCCAAUGAGGGGCAGACGCACAGGAGGGAUGAAGGGGCUCAGGAGGUGGGAACUUGGUCUGAAAAGUAUAGGAGGUGCUUUGGAGUUGGAAGUGGAUGGAGGAAUGGGGGAUGAGAGGAGAGUCAGGGAAAAGAAUUAGCUCAGCAGGGGAUUGGUUGGGAUGAAAGGCAUGGGGUGGGAACUUUAGAAUAACUUCAUGCCUGUGGCAAAUUCCCUAGAGUAAGUAUGACUCAGGCACAGCGUAAGAGGCAAUGUGACAGACACCUGGUCCCUGGCCUAUGAGGUCUUCUUCCUUCCUACCAUAAUGCCUCCAUGAGGAACGUUUGGAGAAAGAAGGAACAAGGACUGUGUUCUGAGUUUGGUUCAUUUCGGCUCAAAUGUGGAACAGUGUGGGUAAAUUAAUAAUUCAAUGGGAAGAAGAAAUCAACCCAAGGGAACAGGAGAGUUUACAACCUCAACAGCGGAGUCCCUAUGAUAUGGGAGGUUUGUCAGACCCUUAUCAUGUGACUCUCAUGGGACGGGAUGAAAAGCAGAAGCCAAAUAAUUUGCUGUCUUAGUCUUUUCAGGCUGCUAUGACAAAAUAACAUAAACGGAGUGGCCUACAAAUUAGAGAAAUUUGUUUCUCACAGUUCUGUAACUGGAUUUUGAGAGCUGGGUGCCAGCAUGGUUGGUUCUGGAGAGGUCCCACUUCCUGGGUACAAAUGGCCAACUUCUCACUGCAUUCUCACACGGCAGAAAGAGGGUGAGAGAGUUGGGGUGCAUGUGAUAAGGGCACCAAUCCCAUUUAUGAGGGCCCUGCCUCUGAAAGGCCCCACCUCCUAAUAUCACGUGGGAGGUUAGGAUUUCAACAUCUGAAUUUGGGGGGGACACAAACACUGACUCCAUAACACUUGCCGAAUCUGAUUUCUUAAAAAUGAAUUUCUUGUGCAUUAGGAAAAAGCCACAAGUAAGGGUAAAAGAUAAGUGACAGAGUAGAAAAUAUUUGCAAUCCAAAUGGAAUGAACCGCAGCUCAAUAAGAAAGCAAUACGAGCCCCAGUAGGAAAUGGAAAAAAACUAGAUGGAUAGGAAUAAGUAAAUAUAAUCAAAGAAAUGGAGAAAGUCAGGAGAAAGGUUGCUCAAUUGUACAUGUUUCAAAAAAUAAACACUUUAAAAAAUGCAACAUUGUGUUUUGGCAAACAGAUGGCAAGAGAGAAAGGAAAGAAAAGAAAUAAAGAAAAAGGUUUUUUAAAUCCAGGACUGGCAAAGAUAUAAGGAAAUAGACAUCCCCAAACGCAGUUGACGGGUAUAACUUGGUAGAAACUUUCUGGGUGAAAAUGUGGUUCUUCUUGAAAUGUAAAUGUCAUGUUUGCCUAGUUUGACCUUGGGGUCAGAGGUGGCAUCAAGACAGAGACAAACACUUUGCUCCCAGGCCUAGGGGAUAGGACCCCAGGAGGGCAAGGUCAGUGUGUGCUGAAUGGACUGGGGGAUGGGGUGGGUGGAUCUUAGGAAAGCAUCCAUUCUGGGCCACCAAAGCAGGGCUUCUCUCCUGCCCCAGGGUUGAGGUGGCUGCCUCUAGGGUGUUUUCAGGAGUGCCCACAGAAAGGCCCUGGGACACAGGGUCUGGCUGGGAGGAGCCCCCUCCUUCACAGGCCAAGGCUGCAACUGCGGAGCCAAUCACAGCAGCCUGAGUGGACAGGAAUUCCCUUCCUCGGAGUCUGUCAGAGUCCCAAGUGACCAGGAGGAAACUGAGGCUCUGGCAGGGGAAAACACUUUGGAGGACCACCCACUCAGAGAGCAGGUUGUGUCUGUGGGCAGGAUGGGAGCUAAGAGUGGGAGCCAGCUGGAUCUCCCUCCACUUCCUCGAGAUCUGCCCAGGACACUGCCUGGUUCCCGCUGCUCUGGAGGGACUGUUCCUGAGCUGUGAAGUCCUGGGAUCCUGGGCUGUGAAGUCCUGGGAUCCUGGGCUGUGAAGUUCUGCGAUGCGAUUCCUUUAGUUCUGAACUGCAUGUAUUCUCCAGCAGGAGGGGCAGUCCUGGCCUCACGGGCUCUGCCCAGGCUUCCCAGAAGCCUCUCUGGGAAGAGUGGGGGCCACUGCCUUUCCACUUCCCAUGGCAGUCCCUGGCCCUGGCCUCCUCCAGGGCUCUGCAACCCUCUCCAGGCCCCCUGGCAUGGUACCCAUGCCCUCCUAGGGAGAGUAGGUGGGGUGGGGUGGGGUGGAGGGCUCGACCUGUAUAGAUGACCCAGGGCUGUUCCAUCUUCACCCUUGGGCUAAAAGUAACCCAGCAGCAGCUUCAGGGACCCACCUCCCAACCCCCACCAGGCCAACCCCACUCACACUUCCUGGGCUUGCCCGGCCCCUCCCAGCCGGCACCUCCAGCUCUCUCCACCUCCAGCACUGAGCUCUACAAAGCAGCUCUGAACUUAGUUCUCUUCUAUGUUUUUGGUUUUCUGUUUGUUUUCAUCUUUAAUUGUAUAUUUCUGCUCCUCUUUUAAAAGAAAGGAAAGAAGCCAUUUUUUAAAUUGUGUUUGGAUUUUUGCAUCAAAGCCUUCACAGUUUGAGAUAUUUUAAUUCGUUUUGAUCUCAUUUCUGUUUCUCUGCUUUCCUUGUGUUUCUUUUCCAUUUUUAACUUUCUGAGCUGCAUGUUGGUUUUGGUGGCUUCUGGAUCCAAAAUGGCUUAUGGGGGAGUCAUAAAAUGCCUAUGUGGUUGCUUUUCCUCAAUUUUUCACUCAUUUCUAGUUUCAUUGACAGGUUAUUAAUAGAAAAUAAUCUCUAUUAUUUGUACUUUUCAAAAACAUUUUUGAGAUUUUCAUUGUAGUCCAAAAUGGUGAAUUUUAGUGUUAUAUGAUCACCUGAUGUUAUCAGAUUUGCAUUUAUUUCAAUUUGUUAAAUAUUUAAAAUUAUAUAAUAUAUACAUGUAUAUUUUUAAUUAUAUAUUUCAGGCAUUUUGUGAACAGGGAUUUUUAACUUUCCUUAGGGAAGCAACUGACAAGAGAGAACAAGAAGUGUGAAUUCUGAGGAAGGGCAAGGGAUGGUUUUGGGCCUCAUCACUCACUCACUCAGCUCUUCCUUCCUUCCGCGGCCUGCCUUCCUUCCUUCCACCGAGCACCAAGUCCCACCCCGGGCCCGUGGGGCCUGGCACAGAUGUGGUUCUGGGCGCACCCUGGUCAGUGGUCUCAGUGUUUUGGCCCAGCUGGCCAUGGUGGCUGCAAGAGGCUCUGCAGCAGCCUGGGAAACAGGGGAGGAGCUUCAGCCUCGCAUGAGUUGCUUUAUUGGUGAACCCGGCGGACUCCAUGGAGCUUGUGGCAGAAGCAGACUUGUUUAACCAGGAGAUGAAAGACAUUCUGUGCAGAGAUCAGGGACGUGUCACUGCAGUCCAGCACUGGUUCAGUGGAAUGUAAAACCCUCACCCAGCUUCACCUUGGGACAGAGGAGGUCAAAGCCCAGGAGUGCCUGCUGCCCUGGACGGGUCCAGCUUGUGGUCUGGAGCUACAGAAGGUGACUUGAGGCUCUUGAAGAAAAGCUGGAGGGAACUGCUUCUUCUUCUCAAAGCCACAUUCUGUGCCUUGAAUGGAAACUCAUGAUCAUUGGUGGAGAGCAUGGGAGGCUGAAAGAAACAUCAUCAUCUCCAGACAAGAGGCACAGUCCUGAGGCAAGGAAAACGGACACAGUGAUUCCCCGAGUUUCUGGACGUGGAUCCUCAAGCAGCUGAUAACCCAGAUGGAGCGUGAUUGGGGGCAUUUGCCCUCUGACCUCCAGGCAUGGACACAGCCUCCUCUGUCACUCCCCUCCCUUCAUACCCCACCUCAGCUACCAGCCUUUCCCCUGCCCUCUUCUCUUCCAUUCCCAGAGCCUAUGUUUCCAGUGAACUCAAAUGUGGAGUUUGUGGGAAGGAGACGUCCUCUUUUGUCCCCUUCUCCAGGAAUCCUGGGUGAACUCCUGAGCCAGCUUCCAUGAGGGGCUGCUAUCCUCCUUAUCCCCACUCAGGGGCUGGAGCCCCCACCCAGAAAAUGGAAAGGAGUUGCUUUCUGGCUUCUCAUUGAGCCACCAUAUGACCCUGCUAGUCCAAAUGCCCCAUUACCACCAGGCCUUACAUGAUUUCUCACAUUUUCCCAAAUGUGUGUUUGAAUUAUUUAUGAGGGGGCUUCAAAAUUCAUGGAAAAUGUAUAUUAUGAAAAAACUGUGCAUGGACUUCACAUUUUUUUGUACCAAAAUAAACUCACACCAACUUGUUAUAAUAUUUCUGAAUAGGGUCUAGUUUGAGGCACUGAGAAGGAUCAGACAUUGGCUUGACAAGAGCGCCUAUCAGAGCAACAUGAAUUCUGUGAAAAUUGAAGUAAAAACAAACAUUAAAUUCAUGGUGAAGCUUGGGUGGAAGCAUGGUGAAGUCAUGGAUGCUUUACCAAAAGUUUAUGGGGACAACAUCCCCACCCCGCAAAAAAAAGCAGCAGUUCAUAAAUGAAUAACACAUUUUAAGAAAGGAAGAGAUUCAAGACCAGCCUGGCCAACAUAGUGAAACCCCAUCUCUUUUAAAAAUACAAAAAU